rnacentral:rRNA from 1 species
UCUGGUUGAUCCUGCCAGUAGUUAUAUGCUUGUCUCAAAGAUUAAGCCAUGCAUGUCUAAGUACACACGAAUUAAAAGUGAAACCGCAAAAGGCUCAUUAUAUCAGUUAUGGUUCCUUAGAUCGUUAACAGUUACUUGGAUAACUGUGGUAAUUCUAGAGCUAAUACAUGCAAUUAAAACAUGAACCUUAUGGGACAUGUGCUUUUAUUAGGCUAAACCAAGCGAUCGCAAGAUCGUUAUAUUGGUUGAACUCUAGAUAACAUGCAGAUCGUAUGGUCUUGUACCGACGACAGAUCUUUCAAAUGUCUGCCCUAUCAACUUUUGAUGGUAGUAUCUAGGACUACCAUGGUUGCAACGGGUAACGGGGAAUCAGGGUUCGAUUCCGGAGAGGGAGCCUGAGAAACGGCUACCACAUCUAAGGAAGGCAGCAGGCGCGUAAAUUACCCACUCCCAGCUCGGGGAGGUAGUGACGAAAAAUAACAAUACAGGACUCAUAUCCGAGGCCCUGUAAUUGGAAUGAGUACACUUUAAAUCCUUUAACAAGGACCAAUUGGAGGGCAAGUCUGGUGCCAGCAGCCGCGGUAAUUCCAGCUCCAAUAGCGUAUAUUAAAGUUGUUGCGGUUAAAACGUUCGUAGUUGAACUUGUGCUUCAUACGGGUAGUACAACUUACAAUUGUGGUUAGUACUAUACCUUUAUGUAAGUUAAUAAUUACAGUUAUCGAUUUGAUUUUGAAGAUCGCAAGCGACCGUUUAUUGCAAUUUAUCAUUUGAAACUAAAUCUAGCGUACAAAAUGUUUCCCUAAGUCCCUAGCAAUCAAGUGAAGUCGUCGGCAGCGGCGCAGCAGGCGUCGGCCGCGGCGCAGCGCAGAAGUGUCGAUGUCGCGCUUAACCGUUCGUUGGCGUUGAUGGCAGCGGAGACUAUGUGGAACCACAAGAUGUUAGAGAAUCAAUUGCAGGGCAAUAACUCCUCCCCUCUUAAUUGACGCUUGUCCUCGAGCGGUCAUCAUAAGGAUGGGAUGUUUUUGAGUCGCAUCGUUGGUGGGGUGAUUC